rnacentral:rRNA from 1 species
GUAGGUGGCAAGCGUUGUCCGGAAUUAUUGGGCGUAAAGCGCGCGCAGGCGGUUUUUUAAGUCUGAUGUGAAAGCCCACGGCUCAACCGUGGAGGGUCAUUGGAAACUGGAGAACUUGAGUGCAGAAGAGGAGAGCGGAAUUCCACGUGUAGCGGUGAAAUGCGUAGAGAUGUGGAGGAACACCAGUGGCGAAGGCGGCUCUCUGGUCUGUAACUGACGCUGAGGCGCGAAAGCGUGGGGGGGAGCAAACAGGAUUAGAUACCCUGGUAGUCCACGCCGUAAACGAUGAGUGCUAAGUGUUAGAGGGUUUCCCGCCCUUUAGUGCUGCAGCAAACGCAUUAAGCACUCCGCCUGGGGAGUACGGUCGCAAGACUG